rnacentral:rRNA from 1 species
ACAAAAAGUAAGUAAGGGCACAUGGCGGAUGCCUUGGCUCUCGGAGGCGAUGAAGGACGUGAUAAGCUGCGAUAAGCUGCGGGUAGGUGCAAAUGACCUUUGAUCCGCGGAUUUCCGAAUGGGACAACCCGGUACUUUGAAGAAGUAUCAUCCUGCAUUGCAGGAGGCUAACGCAGGGAACUGAAACAUCUUAGUACCUGCAGGAAAAGAAAAUAAACAAUGAUUCCCCCAGUAGUGGCGAGCGAACGGGGAAUAGCCCAAACCAUCCAUGUUACGGCAUGGGUGGGGUUGUAGGACCACGCCGUGGCAAGAAAGUUGGUGAGCAGAAUGUUCUGGAAAGUACAGCCAUAGAGCAUGAGAGCUGCGUAUGCGAAGCCAAGCGAAGCCUAGUGGUAUCCUGAGUAGCGCGGAGCACGAGGAAUUCUGCGUGAAUCUGCCGGGACCAUCCGGUAAGGCUAAAUACUCCCGAGAGACCGAUAGUGAACCAGUACUGUGAAGGAAAGGUGAAAAGCACUUCGAACAGAAGAGUGAAAUAGUUCCUGAAACCAUGUGCCUACAAGCGGUCGGAGCACCUUCUGGUGUGACGGCGUGCCUUUUGCAUAAUGAACCUACGAGUUACUUUUUCCGGCGAGGUUAAGGAUUUCAGAUCUGCAGCCGAAGCGAAAGCGAGUCUGAACAGGGCGUAUAGUCGGAAGGAGUAGACGCGAAACCAAGUGAUCUACCCUUGGGCAGGUUGAAGGAUGGGUAACACCAUCUGGAGGACCGAACCAAUAAGCGUUGAAAAGCUUCUGGAUGACCUGAGGGUGGGGGUGAAAGGCUAAUCAAACUUGGAGAUAGCUCGUACUCCCCGAAAUGCAUUUAGGUGCA